GACAGUGAGAGAUAGGUGAUCCUAUAGACAGAUAUAUAUAACAGACAGUGAGAGAAAGGUCAUCCUAUAGACAGACAGAUAUAACAGACAGUGAGAGAUAGGUGACCCUAUAGACAGACAAAUAUUACAGACAGUGAGAGAUAUGUGAUCCUAGACAGACAUAUAUAACAGACAGUGAGAGAUAGGUCAUCCUAUAGACAGACAGAUAUAACAGACAGUGAGAGAUAGGUGAUCCUAUAGACAGACAGAUAUAACAGACAGUGAGAGAUAGGUUUUGUUAUGAGCGGAUGGUCUGACAAACUAAAAGAAAUAUUUAUGCUAUAGGCAAACCGAUAUAACGGACGACGAGACAGAUAUUGUAUGCUAUAGAGUGUAAAGUAAAUAUAUGGAAUGAGAGAGGAUCUGGUCGUCGUAGCUAUCGUAAAUGCAUUAUUUUUCCAUAAUGAAAUAUAUAUUAGCUAUAUCACACGUUAUAUCCAUAGCAAACACGUAGAUCACUGAGACGUUACAUUGGACUACAUAAAGUGACAACUAAUCAUUGGGGUCCAAUGGUGAGGCACACAUACUGUUUAUCAUUCGUUAGAUUAACCCGGGAUACAAACUGCUGAUAGCGAGGAUCAAAUAUAAUUGAUAUUUAUAACUUAUUUUGUCAGUAAUUGUACAGAUGAUCGUUCUGACUUGUUCUGUAACUAGCGGGUUGUGUUCGGAAACUGUGAUAUAAGUAUAUUUACCGUACACACGUUUGUAAUGAAUUGUGUGAUGUCUGUAUACUGACACAUGAUUAUCCAUUUCCUGUCUGCUUCACAGAAUAAUCUAUCCACCUGGAAUUCCCCGGGUAUAUCCCAUGGGAGAAUAAUAAGUUCACCAGUUCCAGUUUGUGCCUGCUAAGAAUUCAGUUAAAUCAUCUCAUUGACUUUAAAUCGUCUUCUUUUCGUUUAUCCAAUUUAAUUUAUUGGAAAUAUCAUUAAAAAUAUAACAUCGCUGUCUAUUUACAUACAAACCUUUUUAGCACCUAUAACAAUUAAUUGCAAAUGACUAUUCAUAUGCACAAACCUCAUUCCCACUCGUUAAAUUAUUAUAUAUAACUUUCUAUUUAUAGACACAAACCUGAUUACCAACCAAUAACAAUUAAGUGUCAGUAUUUGCCAGCAAUUAAAAUCAAUUGUCGCUAUUAUUUAUAGACACAAACCACUUACCACCAAUGAAAAUCAAAUGUCAAUAUUAUUCAUAGACACAAACCACUUACCGCCCAUUAAAGUCAAAUGCCAUUAUUAUUUAUGGACACAAACCACUUACCGCCAAUUAAAGUCAAAUGCCAUUAUUAUUCAUAGACACAAACCACUUACCGCCCAUUAAAGUCAAAUGCCAUUAUUAUUUUUAGGCACAAACCACUCACGGCCCAUGAAAAUCACUGGCACAGACCUACCUACCUGACAACAAUCGUUUUAUGGACACAAACAAGUUACACGUACAAACCAUUAAAAUCAAAUGUCACUAUUAUCUAUAGACACAACCCAGAUUUCUACCCAUUAAAAUCAGAUAUCCUAUAUAUAGACACAAAUCUACUUACCAACCAUUACAAUUAAUUGUCAUUAUAUAUAUACACAAACCAGAUAACCGCCCAAUCAGAUGUCACUGCCAAGUUAUAAAGCUGAUAAUCACCCAAUCAAAUGUCACUGCCCAGUUAUAAAGCUGAUAAUCACCCAAUCAAAUGUCACUGCCCAGUUAUAAAGCUGAUAAUCACCCAAUCAAAUGUCACUGUCCAGUUAUCAAGCUGAUAACCCCGCCCUUUUUCUAAAUAAACAAUCGAAUGUUUAGUUAUGCUAUGUACACGACCAGUACUUACCAACAUGGGAUAUCUGAGUCAUGGAGACGUCGAAGUGAAAAGCUGAUUAAAGACGUCCCGAAUGUGCAAUAUAUAAAUAGAUCAUAAUGUCAUAUGUCAUUUGUAACAUAAAGGUCAAAUUGUGAUGCCCUAGUCGUGUUCAAUUUGAAUGUCAUAGUUUAUAAUCACACAAUGCCAUAUUUAUAUGAAUUGUAUUAUACAUUCUAGUCAUUAUUUAUAAAAUGUACACAUUUAUUGCGUAUAAAUCAUAUGUUGAUACAGUCAUCUCACUAUAAUCUCUGACCAUCAAAGUCAUUAAUUUUUAACAAUAAGUAAUUACAUGUAGUAUAUUUACAUAUUUUAUAUCAUUAUACUCUCCCAGCUAGUAGAAACGCUGACCAGUGUUGUAUAGAGGUAUAGCUAUAAAGAUUUUAUCUGUACAUAAGUUUAUCUACAUAUAACAAUACUCAACAUAACAUUCAGGUGCAUUAUAUAAAAACCAUUUGAGAAUUUUUAAUCAAUUUUCAACGCAAGUUCACUCACAGACUGGUUAAAGAGAUAUAUACAAAUCAUUCUUUCAAGGCUCAUUGUCGGUCCUGAAUUCCAGCAAAUUGUGUGGUUAAAUAUACAGAAUACUGGCCCUUAUAUAAACUUAUUAUGCUCGAUAUUUUACAUCAUGAGUUGAAAUAAUUUUGUGAAAUACAGGAUCGACAAUGGUCCGAGAUUAACGGAGGUCACGGGGUCAGAUAGACAAGAGUGUAUGUGGACAUAGCAAAAUGUCAAUCAUCUCUUUAUCAAUACUGUACUGUAUAUGACUGCAAUUUAUUCUUGUUGUUCGUGUGAUGUUAGAUAUAUUUUAUUUAUUCAUAAUGACAUUCUGUGUAAUAGUGUUGAUAAUCAUUUGUUGAAGCCAAGCACAUCAUCAACGUUGCAGUAAUUACAUUCGAUUUUCCUUUUGCAUUUUCUGUGAAAUUGUGAGUGAAAUUGUGAGCUUUUUGUUAUGUACAAUGAAACACAGUCUAGUAAUAUUCCAAUACCUUGCUGGAUGGAAAGCUGUUAUCACAGUUAGAAAUGAUCGGUGUUGAGAAAGGUAUGUAAAUGUAUUACAUGAAACAAUCGCCAGCACUUCCCUUCGUCGUUUUUAUCUACCAUACAUUUUUUCGAUAAAAAUGUAGGCCUAUAGUUGGGUGAGAAAUUUGACAUUAUAUUAAAGCUCACUUACAACUGAUUAUUACCCACAAAAACUGCGGAAUUAAGUGCACGACGAAUGGUUCACGUCAUACAGGCAUAACAGUUAACUCCCAGGGUGCUGACAUUUGAGACGUCUUGUUUGUGUCAUUAACCGUACAGUUCUAUGAAACCAUCCCGAUUUACCGUGAACAUGUAACAGGUAUGCGUGUAGUUUGUUGAAAACAAAAUCCGCAAAAAUGGAUGUUUAAUCCUACAUAUUACAUUUCUUGUUACAUUUGUAUGUGUAGUGCUGGGCGGAGGAACCUCGUUAAGUUGUGUUGUUUAUAUUCGUUUAUAUACGCUGGAGCAGCUUAAUGUGCAUAGCAGUUAUAUAUCAUAUUGUACAUCUAAUUAAACCGAUGUAUGAUCACUACAUACUAUGAUAAAACUAUUUAAGUGUA